UACGGAGGAUGCAAGCGUUAUCCGGAAUGAUUGGGCGUAAAGCGUCCGCAGGUGGCUGUGUAAGUCUGCUGUCAAAGAGCAAAGCUCAACUUUGUAAAGGCAGUGGAAACUACACGGCUAGAGUGCGUUCGGGGCAGAUGGAAUUCCUGGUGUAGCGGUGAAAUGCGUAGAGAUCAGGAAGAACACCGGUGGCGAAGGCGCUCUGCUAGGCCGCAACUGACACUGAGGGACGAAAGCGAGGGGAGCGAAUGGG
rnacentral:rRNA from 1 species